GUCUUCCUGGACUACCUCUGACCUGCAAAACUGGGAUUAGGGGAGAGGGAUGAGCUAAAAAGCCCAGUGAGUAGAAAUAAUAAAACAGUUCAUUUAUUACAUGCUGUCAUGAAAUGCGUCACAGCACAAACAAUUCACAUCACGGAUUGGACAUGACCUUAAAACUCCCUCUGUCGAUGCCCGGCCCCCAAAGGAGCUCACACAGGAC
rnacentral:lncRNA from 1 species